CCGAGCGCGUCAUUUAUUUGUUUCGCCUUUUUUGUGCGAAAUUGCUCUUAAUUAGUUGGGCGAGAAAAAAGCUGCGAAUUGCUCACGAUUUGCAUUAAAAUUGAAGCAAGACAAAGUGAAACGUGCGAUGGCAACCGGCAAUCAAUUUCGGCUUGUAUGCAUGUGAAUAAUAAAGUCUUUUCAUGUUGGCUUUUAUAUAUAAAGCAAGUAUUGGUUUGGAGACAGCUUUAUAGACGCGGCAAAAUCUGUAAGGAUGAUGAUCGCUUCUUUGCUGGUGGUCGCCGCUGUGGUGGCCUGUUCCAGCGCUGAUCCUAUUUUCGGUUGGUAUGAUGUGUGUCAAGAGUGUCCGUCCUCGGAAGAGGAUAGCGAUAUCUUCACGGAAACUUGGUGUGAAUGGAUGUGUGAAACGAUUGAAGAACAGGAGUGUGCAACAAGCUCACCUACAACUACGACGAUUAAGUCAUCGACGACGGCUGUAGGGGCUUCGGCAGAAUCAUCAUCAACGACACAACCCUCACAGAACACAUCGACGACGACGUCGAGUCAACCUUCAAGCUCAACUACUCCCAAAACAUAAUUAUCUUCCACAUUUUUUAUACUUAUAUUAUUUUUUAAUUACGUGCAAAAUAUUAACAAUAAAAUAACUUAGGCAGUGUUGUAAAGUAUAACUUUGUAUAGUUAUUACUGUUAUUAGUUUUAAGUUCUUUUAAAUUUUAAGUUAACUGAUUCAUAAUUUUAUUAUUUUCUACAGUUUAUAUUUGUAUUACAGAUACCAAAGAGUGGAGUUUCUGCCACUUACAUAAAACCUGUACCUAAAAUAUUAAUAAAUAAAUACUAUCUU